rnacentral:lncRNA from 1 species
CUCAGGUCACAAGUGAGUACCCCAUCCUCCAGCUGGCUCUCCCGCUGAGGACGGGAGGGUGGACUGGAGUGUCUGCGCCUCACCCGAGGCCCCCACCCCCCAGCCUCCCACUCAGGGGUCGCUCCUCACUGCGGGGUGUGCAUUUGAGCUGGGAUACCUCUCCCGCCACCACUGUAGCCUGUGGCCACUGGGCACUGCCCUCCCUCUGCCCUGCCAGGCACAAAGCUGGAAGGCACCCGCCUUUCUCCCUCCUCUCUCUCUCUGCAGUUGCUAAGUUACACCAAAAAACAAACAAACAAACAAAAAAUCACCACUCGGCUCUGUGUGAACUCGUUCCAUGGCCAUGAUUUGCCAGGUGGAAGGCGGCCAUCAGGCUGACAGCUUGAGGCGCCUCCCGGAGAAAAACAAACUUGAUGGCUGGCUCCAGCCCCUUUGGCAUACCUGGGGUGCAUCUGCAGGGAGAAUGAAAAUGAAUCGAAACUGCACCCUCGCCAUUGUCGCCACCAUCC